rnacentral:lncRNA from 1 species
AUGUUCCUGCUUCAUACAAGGCCAGGUUCUAUUUCACUAAGUUCAGCAGUGGUUCUAAAUGCUAUCACAAAUAUUACCCAAGAGACCGACAUCUCCACACCAACCCAUGCUGACCACUGUAUUAGCGAGGGGGACUUUGAAAAGGAAGGAACCAAUGUUCCGCUGUUUGGGGAUCGAAUACUACAUGACACUUCCUAUCCCCAAGCUGAGCUGUUACCAAUGGAUUCAGUCUGGCUAGACUGUAGAGGGAACAUAUUCUCCCAAGACCCUUCUGUCAUCCAACAAGAGGGAAGAAGAAGAGAGGGGAAGAGAUUACAGAAAGGCAUGCAGAUUGGAAAGAGGAUAGGAAGGAAAGAAAAGAGCCAGCCAUCAUUUUUGUAUAUCCACUUGACUUCUGGGAGAUGCUAUCUUAUCUCUGACCCCUGUUAACAGGCAGUAAAAUAUAUUGCGCUUGAAUAUCAUCUAGCUGCAUUCACAGAACCCUUCUCUGUUUCUGGGACACUUCUGCAAUCUUAUCUGCUUCACUAAGCCCCCAAAUGACAACAAUCCCCUGCAUGUACCAACAGAGAUACUAGGGCCCAACAAAGUUAAGGAGCUUGCCCAAGACUACCCAACAAAUCAGUUGUCCUAAGCUCCCUACCUUACCUCCAGGAUAUUUAUAAUCUGCAUCUUUAUUUCACAGACAAGUUCAUGGGUUUCCUUAGAUUUGAGGCAAUCAACCUUUUUUUUUUUUAAGUGCUUUGGGGCUUACAUAUCAUUGCCUCUGUAAGAAAGAUAGUACAAGUUUUAUCAUCCCUAUUUUAUAGAUGAGGAAAUUGACGUAGAUCAGGGCAAUGGAGAAUAAUUUGGAUGCCAUCAUUCUCUUUCUGUUUUCUGCAGAGCACGUGCUAAAUGAAGCUACCUACCAACUGUCCAGACUGAAGGCAGAAGAGAUACUUUUUUUUUUUUUGGUCUAGGAAAUGGGGAUGCUCAGGCAUUGGGACAUCAUAACCUUAUGCCAGGUUGUCAAUAAGAAUUUCCCACUAGAGAAGUAGUAUGACUUCCUAAAGAGCCAGCCUAUCUGGGUUGAAGUCCUGCCACAUAACCCAGAUUGCCUAUGUGACUUUGCCUCAUUUAACCUCUGACUGCCCCAGACAAAUAUCUAAGUUGGUAUAAGAGGCUGAGCAGGCGCUGAUAUGGACUGGGAGAGGGAAUUUGGUGAAGAGUUUCCUCCAAAAAUAAAAUUUAAGGACAACUGGAUGGCUCCGUGGAG